CCCGCCGCGACCACUGCCCCACCACCAGCCCGCGGCCGCCGCGCCUCCACCAGCCGGCGACGCGCCGCCCCCACCAUCCAUCGCGGCUGUCGCCCUACCUCCCGCCGCGGCCACCGACCGACCACCAACCCGCGGCCGCCGCGCCUCCAUCAGUUGGCAACGCGCCAACCCCACCUUUCAUCGCGGCUGCCGCCCUACCUCCCGUCGUGGCUGCCGCCCCACCACCACUCCACGGCCACCGGCCCACCACCAGCCCGUGGCCGCCGCGCCCACCUUCCAUCGCCGCCGCCGCUCCACCUCCCAUCAUGGCCGCCAUCCACCAAGACAACCGGCCGACCGUUCACGGAUCAGGCGGGUACUCGCACGUUGAGGUGGUGUUGCUCUGGCGAGCUCCUCCAUUCCCGACCACGACACGUCCAUGGCGGCCUCCUCCAUUCCGUUUCCUCCUCCAAUAAGUUCAAUCAUUCAGGUAUUACCAGUGCAAGAUGACCUGAAGCACCGACAAGUCGUGCCAUUUGCGAGGUGUCAGUUCAGGCCGGCAGGGAUGCACAGUCCAGGAGUGGCACGUAGAUGCGCGCAAUAGUGAUAGUAGCUACCACCUCGCGGGCAUACACGACGAGCUGCACACGCCGCCAUCUACGUGCACGUGUGGAUGCGACAGUGGCAUGUUGCCGGGUGCUUGUCCAGCAGCAAGACACAACUGUUGUGGCCAUGGGCGGGCUAUCAGCAGUAUGCAACGCAAGGCUCAACUAGUUCCUUCUUCCUGUUUCAUAGUAGUGUGCACGCUAUAUGUUUGUCAAAAUGUCUCAAUGAGUUACAGUACUAGUUCUUGCGUGGUUGUGCUCUAUUCUAGCUGCCCUUGCUUGCUACUUGCUACAACUCAAAUUAGUUUCUUCCCUGUAUUAUUAGAUGGAGAGAGAAAAAAGUUUGAUCUUCCUACCAUCUAUUCCCAUUGAGAGGAAAAAAUAAGCUGACACUUUCUUCCCUGUAUGUAUGCAUGGAAUGGAUAGUAAAUAUUGUUUUUCGGUGAGUGUAAAGAACAAACUAUUUUAGGAUGAUGCAUUUUGUUGGUUUAGAGCGUAGUAAAAGUGUCAUGGCCAGCGCUUUAGUGGCAGAAAAGUGGAACCUGCAGGAGAUGCCACGAGGGGCGAGGACGUCCAACUCGGCGAGAUUAACGUCAUCGUCGACCCCAUGUUCGCUGGCAAGACCACCGUGGUUCUCCGCCGGCACCGUCCAUGGCUGGAGCUUGCCGGUGAUGGCGGAUGUGGAGCUUCACCACCAUUCGCAGCUCCAAACCGUGAUCCAGUUCUUCGUGAGGCUCUCGAGCUUGAAUUUUUUCCGAUUCAUCUAAUGUAAGCUAUUCGGUACAUCUAAUUCCCAAUCGUAAGUACGAUUCCCUUUAUGUUUUCCAUUUUCUUCCUAUAACACAAAACAUGCACUGUAGGAUGAAAUGAGAAGAUAUACUAAAAGAAAAUGUGUGGUGGCGCUGUCCAUGUUUUCAAUUUAAACCACUAGCUUUUUUAUACACAAAAAAAUCUGCAAAUAUGUUUGCUACUGUGUGUUUCUAAUUGAACCAUGCAAAUUUCAUUUGAUGGCAUUCGGCAAAAUUGCUACUGUGUGUUUCUAAUUGAACCACUAGCUUUUUUUUCAUUUGAUGGACAUUCAAGGCAGCAAGCACACACAUGUUCUAGUCAGUCUGUGUGUGUGUGUGUUCUCAUUAGUCACUCGCCUCUCAGUCCGUCUCUCGAAAGAUACCUAGUGUCGCCUUGUGUAUUUUCAUCAGUUCAUGUGUGUUUGUUCUUGGCACACAUUAGCCUGGUACCUGGAUUAGAAAAAAAUCUCCACAUCAUGUCUGCCUGAAUUAUUCUAGUGUGGUCUCCCAAUCCAAGCAUACUUCAGUUCAAGAAAAAUCUCCAGACAAGUUCAGAGUAGUUCGCAUUAAAGGUUUGAUCCUUUUUUAUUCGUUUGUUUUUGUUCAGAAAAGCUCCAUGGCGUUUCUUGGGCAGCAGCAUGCCCCUACAAAAAACUGUAAGUUUGAAUUAGGAAAGAUAAGUUCAGCCAAAAUUAAAACUAUUAAAAAACAUAAUGAUUGUAUGUUUUUUUCAUAUCGAACCGCGUACGUCACACCAGAUCGAUGCCUUCAUCUACAGCAAGUCGAUGUAGUACUACAUGCGAAGUACAAAAAUUACUACUAGUGAGAGUUCAUUUAAAUCCUGGUCAGUUCAUCUCCUCAAAACAUAUUUACUUCUGCUCUGCUCUGAUCUUUCUCCUGAAUUGUUGAUGAUGCAUCCUCUCUCUCAUGAUGUGAUGUUGUUGCUCUCUCGUAGCUAAAACAUGGUACCAAAAACAUCCUAUAGCUGACCACAAUCUGUAAUUCUGAAACUACAUGUAUUACUACUGGGAAGGUUCAAAAAUCAGAACUCAACAAGUUCAACAUGGUGCAUGCCCCAGUUGAGACCAUUGAGAGGGCGCACCGCGGCGUCAUGGACUACAUCAAGCACGCGCUCACCCUCUUCACCGACUUGGCCGCCGUCCUGAUCAUCAUGCUCAAGAACGCAGGCGACAAUUCCGAGGACAAGAAGAGGAGGAGGUCCUGAGAGUGUCAUAUGUGCAUCGUUUUUUCUUGUUUCAAAAGUAGAAGGGGAAGAUGUAGAGGGUGGACUACUCAGGGCGAUUGCUGCUGAUGUUGUGUUGUGUUAGGUCAGCAAGUAGUGCUAAAAUUAUUUUGCAGGAAGAGAAGGCAGCGAGAAGAUGUUCCAGGUGACACGCCCUUCCAUCAAAACAAAAUGUUCAAACAUAGCAAGAAGUCAACAGAAAAAGAUGUGGGGCUGCUAGACUUUUUCAUAAGUUGUACGUAGCAAAUCUGUAGUUAUGGCAUAAAAAGCUGAAAUAUUGUAUAUUGUAUAAUUCCAUAAGCUGUACGUAGCAAAUCUGUCCAUGUGGAUCAGUACAACUUACGUACAACCUUAAAUUCACAAAUCUUAUAGUCAUCUUUGUAGUACUCUUCGUAACACUUUGUAAAGCAAG